AAUGACGAUGCAGUUGAGCGACUUACCCACAGACGAGAGCUCGAGGAAAGCUGCAAAUUUGUGGAGGAGCGCCGGCAUUGAUGCUCUUUCAGGCUCUAGAUUGAUCGGGUGGUGUAUGUGGUAUGUUGUGCUCUCCGUGUUGACCGUUCACCACCCGUGGAGCAGCCGUCCGUCCGAGCCAGAUCGGGGACCCACCAGAACCACCAUCACGGCCAGUCGACGCCACCAGGGCCAUCAGAACAUGUAACUCGAGUCUAGCGCCGCCUACCCAACAAGAAUUGCAUAGACUU